rnacentral:misc_RNA from 1 species
UUGAUUGGUCGAAAGACCUUAUCAGAUUUUACCACCUCUGUGAACCGUUGACCUCCGGGUUAAUAAUCAAACAUCAGUGUAACGAACGUAAGAGUAUCUUAAUUAAACA